rnacentral:ncRNA from 2 species
AGAGGAAGCCGGUGCGAGUCCGGCGCGGUCCCGCCACUGUCACCGGGGAGCGCUCCGCCAGUUCGACACGGCCACGGCCCAUCACCACGAUGGGCGGGAAGGCCCGGGGGAAGCGCCGAUCCGGGAGCCAGGAGACUC